rnacentral:ribozyme from 17 species
AUGUUUUUCUUUUUGUUUCUUUUUUUUUCUUCUUCUUCUUCUUUUGUUUUAAAAUGAUGUGGACUACCAAGCAUGAGUGGAGGAAUGAAUGAAUGAAUCAAUGCAAU